rnacentral:piRNA from 1 species
UAUCAAAAGGACAGAGGGCUGUCUGUAUCC